ACCCUCCCAAAAUCUGUUUCCCUAUUUCUACAAAUGCUGCAUUUGUUGAGUCUGCAUAUCUUUGCUCAAAUGCUAUUUCUUUGAACAAAGACCAAGCAUCGUCAUCGGACAAGCCUUUCAGAACAUAAGGUUGACAUUUACUAGUAAUCUUUGCUACUCUCAAAGAGCGAGUAGUUACUAUUAUCCUACUUCCUUUAGCCCCACCUACUAAUAACUCUUUUAAACUAACCCAUUCUUCCCACUCCUCGUUCCAAAUGUCAUCCAAAACAAGCAAAUAUUUUUUCCCACCAAUUUUUCCUCGAAGUUGGGUUUGCAAUUGAUCCAUUUCGAGUUUUUGAUUUGGUGCUUCACCAGUUGCAGAUUUGAUCAUAUUUUCUACAAUUAUUUUGACAUCAAAAACAUCUGAAACGCACACAAACAUCAUCAACUCAAAAUGAUUUUUGACCAUUUCAUCAUUAUAGACAAACUGCGCCAAAGCAGUCUUUCCUAACCCUCCUAACCCCACAAUUGGAAUGAUGGAAACAUUCUCUUCACUUUCAAACUCUAACAUGAGUUUUAAAAGAGCUGCUUUAUCAUCGUCCCUCCCUAUUAUGUUAUCUUUAAAAGAGUGCGUUUGAUGCCUCCUUUUAGUCAUGAAAGAGGUUUCCAUGGGGCGGUCACGCUCUACCAAAUUGAAAAUCUUGGCCUCACUUCCAAUCGAAGUUAGCCUCGCCUUAAUGGCCUUAAUUUGACGACCCAUUUUGAGACCGUAAGCAAACUGGUUUGAGCUUGAGAAGAAAAGGCGUACCUCUUUCGUCAACUUGUUCCCACCCAAUAGAUCUUUCCGCAAAGCUUCGGUAGAGAAAUCAUCGAGCAGGUCAUCGGCAUCAUAAAGUACAUCUUUCAGCUUUUCAAGCCAAUCUUUGACGAGAUGGCUGGUCACAGAUCGCUGUUCUGCGUCAAGAAGCACAGCUUUGAUUGUGGAGACGGUGCUUUUGAGGUCGUCGAGGUCAUCUUUGACAUUCCAACACAGUCCAAUUUGAGAGAGAGUAAAGGAGCUCAAUUUAGUAAUAAGCUCUACAGCGAGGUCGAAUGCAAUUGCUUCGGCCAUUGCCGGUUCAAACUGAAAUCAAGCAAAAGAGUGUUUGGUUAUUGCAAGAGGUGGACUAAAAUGAAAACGAUUGGAACAAGAUGAAAUACAGGUGUGGAUCCAUACUGGCGGAUACUAAGAAUUUUUAUAGAUGUUACCAUCCACACCCAGCAAGUAGUAUAAUUAAAUGAAAAUAAUGUUGAUUAGUGGGAUGGAGACAAAGUUGGGAUGAUGACACUUUGGUGCUCUGCACAAUUACAUCAACUUGGGCAAAAUUUGUCAGUCUCGGUCCCUACAAAUAAUUGAAAUUAUAAUGAAAAAGCUAUGAAAGAAAAGAGAAGAAAGAGAGAAAUCCCAUGGAAUCCAAGGUGUUUAGAUUGAGGCACAUGCAUUCGAGUGUUUGUAACUUUUCCCACUUGCUUAGUGUAAUCCAGCUGAGUUUGAAUACUCGGUUGAGGUUAAAUUGAAUAUUUUAUUUCUAUUUGAGUUGGACUUAAGUUCGUAAUUUAAUUUAAUAAGAUAAAAUAUAUAUUAUAUAUUACUAAACUUAAAUUUAGUUAGAUUGAUAGUUGAAACUCAAUUCAAUAAUUAUCGAAUUAAAUUUAAAUUUAUUUUUAGUCGAAUUCAGUUUAACUUAUUAACAUUAAAAUCUCAUUUAGGCCUCUCCCACCCAUGAAAUUUAGCUUCAAUUUUUCUUUUUUGGUAAUUUGGUAACAAUUAUUAUCUUUUUUAAAUUCUACUUUAAAAGAAAUUGUCACAAACUGAAAUCAAGCAAAAAGGUGUUUGAUUAUUGCAAGAGGAGGACUAAAAUGAGAAUGAUUCCAACAAGACGAGACACAGAUGUGGAUCCAUACACGCAGAGACAGUAUUUUAUAAAUGUUACCAUCCACCCACUUAGUAGUAUAAUUAAAUCACAGACCGAAAUUAAAUAAUGAAUUUAAAAGAUUAAAUUUAAUUUUUAUUAUUUAAAAAAUUAAAAUAUAAUUUUAAUUUUAUUAAUUUAAAAUUUUAAAAAUUUCAAAUAAUCUAGAUAGAAAAUUUUUCUGGCAGGCCCUACCAGCUGCCGAAGGGGAAUGGUCCACCAUGUUGGGACGAUGACAUUUGGGGCGCUCUGCACAAUUACAUCAACUUGGGCAAAAUUUGUCCGAAUUAAUGAAAAAGCUAUGAAAGAAUAGAGAAGAACAGAGACAAAUCCCAUGGAAUUCAAGGCGUUUAGGUUCAGGCACAUGCAUUCUAGUCUUUCUAAAGCUUCUUUGAGCUGAGUCGGAAUUUUUUGAGUUAAAAUUAAAUAUCUAUUUUUAGGGUCGAGUUUGAUUUCAGUUCAAGAUAUAAAUGAAUAUUUAAAUUAGUUAAGCAUGUAAUUUAAUAAGAUAAAAUUAUAUAAAAUAUAUAUUAAAAAUAAAAAAAUUCAAUAAGAUUAGUGAGUCAUUAGAAUAAAGUAUUAUUAAGUUUGAAUUCGACUAAAUUAAUAGCUUAAACUUGACUCAAUAAUUACCGAAUGGAAUUUGAAUUUUUUUUUUAAGUCGAAUUCACUUAAUUUGUAAGCACUAAUAUCUCAUUUACACCUCUCUCACCUACAAAAUUUAACUUUUGGUAUUUUUGGUAACGAUUAUCAUGUCUAUAAUUAUAUAUUAUGAUAAUUGUUACCGUCUCUAUUACUAUUUUACUAUACUCUUGUUAUAAGGAAAACAAAGGGAGAAAUAACAAUUAGAUGCUUGGAAUUUUGCCUUGUGCCAUGAUAGACCUUUAUAAGUACUUUCAAGUCAAGGGCGUAAUUAGGGGUUGACAGGGCCCCGACCUUUUCAAAAAUAGAUUUUUUUUCAUCUAGGCCCUUUAAAAAUUUUAAAAUUUUAAAUUAAUAAAUAUAAAAUUGUACUUUAGCCUCCUAAAAAUGAUAAAAGUUAGAUUUAAUUUUUUAAAAAUUAUAAAGAUAUAAGUUAAUAAAAUGGUGAAAUUAUACUUUUACUAUUGCAAAAAUUACAAUUUAAUUUUAACUCCUAAAAAGAUUUACUGACUUCGACUCUAUUUCAAGUAUGAUAAAGAAAAAGAUAGCACACAUAAGCUCUUAUGUAGUUUCCAUUUUUUUUUCACUUCGAGAUAUAUAUAUAUUAAUAAUUUUGAAGAAACAACCCAAUUAUUUUUUAUAUACUAAAACAUGAUUUUAUAUAUUUUUAUUUUAUGUAAUAAAUAUUAUUCAAAUUUUGGAACAUAAUUAAAAUAUUGCAGGGAUAAAAAAUUCAAAAAUAAAAGUUUGAAAGAAAAUAAUAAUGAAAUAAAAAAUUUAAGUCAUUUUAACUACUAAUUUAAUAAAAAAAAUUAAAACAUACAAUUUUUAUGUAUAUUUUAUAAUUUAAUAUAAAAUAUAAUUUUAAUUAUUUUUUUAAUAUAAACAUAACAUUGAUAUUUUCAAUUAUUAUUUAAGAUGUUUUAUUUUUAAAUAUAUCCUUAAUUAUUUAUUUUACAUAUAGAUGAAUUUGAACUUAAUGUCUUUAGUUAUUUUUUAUACACGUCCUACCACAACGUCUACAUUUAAGUUCAAAUAUAUAUUCCACAAUUAGUUUUAAUCUCAUCACUAUAAUAGUCAACCUCAAAUAUGACAAAAAUUUUUAUACACUAAAUUAAAUUUUUAUGGCGAAUUUAUAAAAAUAACAAUCAUGGGGCAAAUGUAUAUGCACUUAGGUAUAAAGUACCAUCAAUAGAAAAUUUAUUAUUUAAAAAAAAAGAAUAAUGACUUUUUAACUUUCUAACUUUACAAAAUUUUUUAUUAUCUCUUUUAACCUUUAAAUUUAUAUUUUUUGUCAAGUCACCCUAAAAUGGUUGGAAAAGUUAACGUUUAUUAACUUUACUGACGUGACAUACAUAUGGUAUAUACAUGUGGAUUACUAUAUGUAUGUCACGUUAGCAAUUAAUAAAUUUUUAAAAAUUAAAAGGUAUUGUAAAUAUGUUUUUAUAUAAUUUUAUAAUUUAAAUACUUUUUAAAAUAUUUUUAUAUAUUAUUGAAAUUUUAAAUUAAAAAAUAAUUAACUGCUUACGUGGCAAUCUAAUGUAUGAUUUAUUUCACCUAGAUAUUAUAUUUUCCUUUUUCUUUAAAAACAAAAUAAAAAAUUAAUAAUUUCAUAAUAAUGAGUAAAUAAAUGUAGCAUUCUACCACUUGGUCCAGUAGUUAGUGCAUGAUUUAUAUAUUCAAAAAAUAGGCUCAAAAAUCCUUUUUUUCUUAAAGUUAAAAGAAAAUACAAAAUUAAGGUUCACAAACAUCGAUUUUUUUAAUUGAUAUGGUGCAACAACUUACAUGGGCUUAAUUGCAGAUUUUUUAAAACAUUUCACACAUUAUGGGUUAAGGCAUCUGAUAAGUCCCGUGUCAUAGAUUGUAUCAAAUUAGUCUCUUUGUUAUUAAAUGAAUCAAUUUAGUUCCUAUAUUAUUAAAAAGAAUUAAAUAGGAUCAAAUUGUAAAAGAGUUAACAAUUUUUAAUACAAUUUUCAUACAAUAAAUAUUAAUUCUGUUAUAAAUUGGCCUUAUUUGAUCCUUUUUAACAGUAUAGGGACUAAAUUAACCAUUUAAUUAUUGAGGGACUAAUUUGAUACAGUCCCUAUAAUAUAGGAACUCCCAAAUACUUUCACCCUUAUAUAUGUAUUUCUAUCUUAUAUAUUGAUGUCGGAAGGACAUUGGUGCCGAUUGGCAUAAGGUUUUUGGUCCCAUGAAUACCAUAUUUUGUAAAUUGAAGUUACUUUGUUACUUCAUUUAUCAUUUUCUUUUGCUAAUUUGUGCAGUAACCGAUCCCUUUAAUAGAGAUGUUACAAGAACUCGCAAACUAUGUCUACCUUCAUGUACGAGUUUCGCCAAAUAUCAGCCUCCCGAUUAUUCAUUCUAGAAGUAUACGAAAAUAUUUCAAUGAUCAAGCUGCGUCAGCAACUAACGAAUCCUUCUAACUUAAACAGAAUUGGAUCCACCUAUAAAUUUCUCCUAAAUAAUCUUAACUGCCUCAGGAUUAUCAAUAUGGGUUACCUUGAAAAUUUUUAGUGAAACGAAUUUGGAAAAUUCAUGAAUCUAAACAAAUUUAGUAAAUUUUCUGAUGUAAUAAACUGAUGUAUUAGAACCGCAUAAUUAAUGCUUAUUCUUGUCAGCAUUAGUUAAAUGGAAGAUGCAAAAUAAGACCUGCAUUCUUCACGAGCUGAUCCAUCUCUGCCACUGUUCUAUUGAAAUCCUCCUGUACAUACGUGUUGGAACAUUAAAAAAUGUGUUGUUUUUUUUUUUGCCGGUAUCAUGCAACAAAAUAACAUAAAAAGUAUAAUCAAGAUGUUUAUAUACUUCAGAACUCUUCUUACAUCUGCGAGGCCUUGCCCAGAUAUAAAUAUAGUAUAAACUUCAUAGUACAAAGGAGUGAUUUAACUUUACCCCUCAAACACUUGAUACAACCUCACCUUUGUAUAGUUAAGUAAUUUCUCUUCCAAUUCAUUUCAACUAUGCAAGUGAAAAUAAACACUCGGAUGGUAUAUAACAAUGUCACUCAAUAAUAGUUCCUAUUAUGAAGAUAUGUGCUUCUUUAAAUUCACACAUCAUCCAUAAAAUAAAUCAUCUAUAUAUAACCUCUAGGAUUGGUGAAACUCUUCAUAAGCUCCGUAUAAAGUGGCAUAAUAAAUUUCCAAAUGCAAUAUCUCCGACAAUUAUCAUGCUUCAACAACGAGACCGUUCCAAAAGCAACAAUGAACCUGGAAAUUAUAAAUGUGAACAUGGAAUAUGUUAAAAUUGAUGUCAUUUAGACUGAGCAGUGUCCAAAUAUGGAAACACUUACUGUUGCUAAACAGAACUUUAUUUAUGUGCAUGAAUGGCCAUUUUCUAUGCUUUUUCAGUUCAAGUUCAACAAAGGGCCAAACAUAGGGCAUCGUAAUCUGUAAUAGUAACAAAUUCCCAUUAACAUACAGCAUCAACCUCAUCCUCACCACCAAAUAUUCUGAAGCAAGAUCCUUCCAUGAUUUAACCUUCAAAAUUCAAAUACUUAAAAGGGGUGCCAUGCAUCAAAGAAUAUUGUGAAAUAUCCCCAUCUUCCCCCGCCAUUUUCAUCAACCCUUAACCCCUGCCCCCUAUUCAAUUUACUUACUUGACAACCACAUUGCGUGUUUAAACUCUCUCCAACACGACUCCAAGAAUCUGUCAACAGCAUAGGAACCAUAUAUUACCAUUUUUCUUGACAUAUAAAUUGCAACUCUUGAAAUACUGAUGACAUAUAUUACCAUUUUUCUUGAGCUGGAAUAUUUUGGCAGAUGAAAAAAUCGUAGUUGAAAGUAUAGCCUCUGCUUCUUGUAAUAUAUGCUAUGCUCUCCCGAAGAAGAGAGCAAAAAUCUAGCAAAAAUUAGGAUUAGAUCAACAGUGGGACUCUUCAACCAAGAAAAGAAAGAACACAUGUGCAUAGAGAGGAGGAUUUCAUGGGAGUACAAUGCCAUGGACAGGUCAGCUGAUGAAGAAUGCAUGUCCUGCUUUUUGGCUCUUCCAUUGAACACAUGCUGAAAAAGAAGAAGCUUAGUUAGGGGGUUAUAUUAGAUCAUUUGAAAUUGUGAGAUUUUUAUGAUUUAAAAAUGUAAACCAAAUACGUAAUUACCACAUCUUUUUGUGCAUCUAAUUUCUUAAAGUUGUCAAAUGCCUUUCACAAAUAUCCAGCACUAGACCAAUGGGUUACUGCACAAAAUUAGAAAAAAUAUUGUGAAAAAUGAGUAGUAUUUCAAUAAGGAAAUUAAUGAAAAGACUUACCUGAAGGAAUGUGAGCAAUCUUAUACCAAUCGGCACCAAUGUCCUUCUGACACCUUUCUUCCAACUGAGGAACCUCAUGUAUAUUUAACUGUUGCAAAUUGGUUAGGCAGCGCAUCUCAUCCGGAAGCGACGUUAGAUUGGGCCAAUCAACAAGAGAAAGAAUUUGCAGAUUUGUUAGAUGUUGAAUCCACUCCGGAAGAUGUCCACACUUUGGAAUAUUUUCCAGUGAUAGGGAGCGUAGUCUUGUAUGAUCUUGGAAUAUCUGGAAGCCAGCUGCUGAUAGCUCCAGCUCCUUGCAGUUCGUUACUACAAGCACUUCAAGGAAAGUGAGAUGUUGGAACACAGGAAAGAGUGACCUCAAUCCGCUGCAAUUCCAAAUUUCUAAUCUUUUCAAUUGAACAAGAUGUUGAAGCCCAAGGGGGAGAGACACCAGCUGUGGAAUAUUAAUAAUCUCCAAAUGAGAGAGAUUCUUAAGGGCUUCCCAUUGCAUUCCCUCUAAAUCAACCUCCUUGCAAUCUCCUAUUGUCAAUUUUUUGAGGCCGGUGAAAUGUUUCAAGUACUCAUCUAGCAUGUGAGUGCCCAAUCCCUCAAUUUUGUGUACAUGGAAAGAUUUCAAUUUGGAGAGAGGAAGAGAAGAUGUUGAAGUUGAUGGGGUCGUACUAGUGAUGUUCAUCUUCAUGGUCUGCUUUAACGGCCUUGAACUGCUCUUCACCAACCUUAGAUCAUCAUCGAGUGAAGGAUACAAUGGCAUUGAAGUCAAAGGGCAAUUUACAAUUUCUAAAGAGGAAAGACAAGGAAAUACCAUCAUUGAUGUUCCUAUAACUGUUGUGUCAUCCUCGUUAUCAUCAUCAAUGGACCUUUUCCUCCACCAACUCUUCAUAUUUGGGCAAUUCUCGAGGCAAAGAGACUUAAGCGAUGGGAAGAAUGAUUCUGGUUCUCCCUGACUUCCUUUUGGGCUAUUGUCGUCCAUGUACUCCAGCUCAGUUAAAUCAACAAUUGACAGCUUUUGAAGACAAGGCAAUUGCGCAAAGGACGGGAUUUGUUUGAAAUUACUAGGACCCCAUAUUCUAAUCACGGUAAGAUUUGUGAGCAAAGAAAGCCAACUUGGAAACUUGGCAUCACCCCUCCAUCCUCCAAUAAAGAGCUCCUUGAGAUUGGGAUGGGGCCGGAGGUCUUCAAGUGACUUGUCAUCAUCAUCAUCAUCAUUACCAUCAUCAUUAUCAUCAUCAUCAUAAUUCCAGACUAAAACCAACAAUCUCAAAUGUUGCUUCUCUUUCAAAUUAGCCGCUUUAAACUUCUCUUUUGCAUUUUUUACAAAUCCCAAAUUUGUUAUUUCUAGCCGUCCCCUUAAGUUGUUAAGCCCACUCAAUUCACUUAGAUCUGCACCGUCAUGUGAGCCAUCUUUAUCCACUACAAACAUGCUUAACGUCUCAAGGGAAGUCAGCUUCCCUAUUCCACGUGGCAUAUGAGUUAAACUAACACAAUCUUCGCACCCAAGAUGAGUAAGAUUCACCAAUUUUUCAAUCUUCUUCGGCAAUUCUUCAAGCUUCCAACAUAAGUCAAGUUUCAAAGCUUGCAAAUUGUGUAUCUUGCAAAUACUCUUUGGGAGGCUCUUAAUAUCGAAAUUCCCAGAAAGAUUAAGGUACCUCAAAUGUUUCAACUUACAAAUGGAGCGUGGAAUCAUCUCAAAAUCUAAACCAUUCAUUUCCAAUACACGCAAGCAUCUAUAAUUUGAAAUGAUAAAAUUCCAAAUUUCGUCGUUCAUAUUUUGAUUUCUCUUAUUUGGAAAUUGUAACAUAGUUCGCAACUUCUUUCCUUCUAACAAAGGAAUUAAUGAAGGAUCAAUUGAUAUGUGGCGACAUUUUUCACCAACCUGGAUUGCAAUUUCAUUUGAAUCUACAAUACUUCUCUCCGUCCCUGAUACUGAUUCAGCUAGAUCAUGCAUUAAAUCAUGCAUUUUACAUGUUAGACCUUCCCACGAAUAUCUUUCUCCUACUUCUUGAAAGAAACUUCUUUCAACUAAAUCUAUAAAAUACCCCAACCCGAUCUCCUCAAAAGAUUGAUUUGAAUUCAAUUGCUUUACGAAGCCUUGUGCAAUCCAAAACUGAACAAGAGUUCGUACACGAAUUUCAUGAUCUUUUGGAUACAGUCGGCAGUAAGCAAAGCAAUGCUUCAAAUGGGAUGGGAGAUGAUCGUAGCUCAACUUAAGUGUAUCUAGAAUUUUACCUUCGUUUUGACAUAUUCUAGUAAAUUCAUUAUCUUUGAAAGAACGCCACUCCUUUUCAGUUUCUUUGAAAGAUAAUGUACUUGCUAUCGUCCUUAUGACCAAAGGAACCCCACCACACCCUUCCAAAAUCUGUUUCCCUAUUUCUACAAAGGCUGCAUUUGUUGAGUCUGCAUAUCUUUGCUCAAAUGCUAUUUCUUUGAACAAAGACCAAGCAUCGUCAUCAGACAAGCCUUUCAGAACAUAAGGUUGACAUUUACUAGUAACCUUUGCUACUCUCAAAGAGCGAGUAGUUACUAUUAUCCUACUUCCUUUAGCCCCACCUACUAAUAACUCUUUUAAACUAACCCAUUCUUCCCACUCCUCAUUCCAAAUGUCAUCCAAAACAAGCAAAUAUUUUUUCCCACCAAUUUUUCCUCGAAGUUGGGUUUGCAAUUGAUCCAUUUCGAGUUUUUGAUUUGGUGCUUCACCAGUUGCAGAUUUGAUCAUAUUUUCUACAAUUAUUUUGACAUCAAAAACAUCUGAAACGCACACAAACAUCAUCAACUCAAAAUGAUUUUUGACCAUUUCAUCAUUAUAGACAAAUUGCGCCAAAGCAGUCUUUCCUAACCCUCCUAACCCCACAAUUGGAAUGAUGGAAACAUUCUCUUCACUUUCAAACUCUAACAUGAGUUUUAAAAGAGCUGCUUUAUCAUCGUCCCUCCCUAUUAUGUUAUCUUUAAAAGAGUGCGUUUGAUGCCUCCUUUUAGUCAUGAAAGAGGUUUCCAUGGGGCGGUCACGCUCUACCAAAUUGAAAAUCUUGGCCUCACUUCCAAUCGAAGUUAGCCUCGCCUUAAUGGCCUUAAUUUGACGACCCAUUUUGAGACCGUAAGCAAACUGGUUUGAGCUUGAGAAGAAAAGGCGUACCUCUUUCGUCAACUUGUUCCCACCCAAUAGAUCUUUCCGCAAAGCUUCGGUAGAGAAAUCAUCGAGCAGGUCAUCGGCAUCAUAAAGUACAUCUUUCAGCUUUUCAAGCCAAUCUUUGACGAGAUGGCUGGUCACAGAUCGCUGUUCUGCGUCAAGAAGCACAGCUUUGAUUGUGGAGACGGUGCUUUUGAGGUCGUCG
rnacentral:lncRNA from 1 species